rnacentral:lncRNA from 10 species
AGCAGUCACAAUUGCUUAAGAGAGAAAGAGAGCUCCUCCCUGCAUAUCAGUUUGAGACAAGCCAGCCCAUGCAAGUCCAAACCUACUACUUCCAGCAAUUUCCUGAUCUACAGAAUGCAAAUACAACCAGGGCUGAAGGAUGCAUUGGCCAAGAUACAUACCUUAACUGCAGAUUCUCGCUUUGUUGCCAGGUUGGAGUGCAGUGGCGAGAUCUUGGCACACUGCAACCUCCACCUCCCAGUUUCAAGUGAUUCUCCUGCCUAAGCCUCCCUAGUAGCUGGAACUACAGACGUGUGCCACCAUGCCCAGCUAAUUUUUGUAUUUUCAAUAGAGAUAGGAUUUCACCAUAAUAUCCCUGCCUAUAUAUAAGGGAUAACUUAAUUCCUUAAUAUUAAAGCUCCUACAUGAUAUAUUUUCCCCCAACUCCUCAUUUAUACAAAGACUUUUCCAAAGACUUCAGCAAGUUCUUAUUAUAGUUAUUACUCACAAUAAACUUAAUGAGGAUCACAUAAUAAUCUAUAGAAGAAAAAUUUUCAAUGCCCAGAUUAUUUAGGUGUUUCAAAAUAUUUGGCUCAACUUUAUUUUCAUGUGAAAAAUAUGACAAUGCAAUCAUUCAGAAGAUUCUAUUACUGUAACUAUAAUCCUAAAAUCCUGAAAGGCCUUAUAAAGUAGUGAAAAAAUACUUCAAUGUCAGGAUUUUUAUGGGCUCUAAUUUUCUUCACGCAUCCCGUUUGUGUUAAGACGUGAUUGAAGCAAAACAUAACACAAAGAAGGUCAGAACUUGGCAUGAUGGCUUCAGACCUGCUGUCCCAUGUGCGGGAGGGGAGGCCCAGUGGAAGCAUGCCGUGGCCGGAGGCAGGGUCCUGCUGCCACCAGCGCAUCCCUCGGAACCUGUCCACUUGUGGAGCUGCAUUAGCUGUUUCCCUAAAUGCAACUCUGGGCCGUACCGAGGUUUAUAGAUAGCGGGAGGAGAGGAGGCUGGAGAAGAUUCCAGAAAGAAAGACAAAGGAGGAAGUAUGAAAAGCUGUGACUUGGAGACCACAGAAAAGAAAGUUUCAGGAAGCAGCAUUCAGCCAGCCUUGGUGAGUAUGGCAGGUGAGGCUGGGAGGACCUGGUGGGUUAAGGUAGGUGGAGUUCUCCAAACACCUUGGCCGGGGAUAUGAGCAGACACUUCUCAAAAGAAGACACUUAUGCAGCCCACAAACAUAUGAAAAAAUGCUCAACAUCACCAAUCAUUAGAGAAAUGCAAAUCAAAACCACAAUGAGAUAGCAUCUCAUGCCAGUCAAAAUGGUAAUUAUUAAAAAGUCAAGAAACAACAGAUGCUGGCGAGGCUGUGGAAAAAUAGGAACACUUUUACACUGUUGGUGGGAGUGUAAAUUAGUUCAACCAUUGUGGAAGACAGAUGGCAAUUCCUCAAGAUUCUAGAACCAGAAAUACCAUUUGACCUAGCAAUCCCAUUAUUGGGUAUACACCCAAAGGAAUAUAAAUCAUUCUACUAUAAAGACACAUGC